CGGUUAGCACUCUGGACUUUGAAUCCAGCGACCCGAGUUCGAGUCUCGGCGAGGCCU
rnacentral:tRNA from 1 species